GGGUUAGGCCACCGGCUUCGGGUGUUACCAACUUUCGUGACUUGACGGGCGGUGUGUACAAGGCCCGGGAACGUAUUCACCGCAGCGUUGCUGAUCUGCGAUUACUAGCGACUCCAACUUCAUGAGGUCGAGUUGCAGACCUCAAUCCGAACUGAGACCGGCUUUUUGGGAUUAGCUCCACCUCACAGUAUCGCAACCCUUUGUACCGGCCAUUGUAGCAUGCGUGAAGCCCAAGACAUAAGGGGCAUGAUGAUUUGACGUCGUCCCCACCUUCCUCCGAGUUGACCCCGGCAGUCUCCUAUGAGUCCCCGGCAUAACCCGCUGGCAACAUAGAACGAGGGUUGCGCUCGUUGCGGGACUUAACCCAACAUCUCACGACACGAGCUGACGACAACCAUGCACCACCUGUAAACCGGCCACAAGUGGGGGACCUGUUUCCAGGUCUUACCGGUUCAUGUCAAGCCUUGGUAAGGUUCUUCGCGUUGCAUCGAAUUAAUCCGCAUGCUCCGCCGCUUGUGCGGGCCCCCGUCAAUUCCUUUGAGUUUUAGCCUUGCGGCCGUACUCCCCAGGCGGGGCACUUAAUGCGUUAGCUACGGCGCGGAAAACGUGGAAUGUCCCCCACACCUAGUGCCCAACGUUUACGGCAUGGACUACCAGGGUAUCUAAUCCUGUUCGCUCCCCAUGCUUUCGCUCCUCAGCGUCAGUUACAGCCCAGAGACCUGCCUUCGCCAUCGGUGUUCCUCCUGAUAUCUGCGCAUUUCACCGCUACACCAGGAAUUCCAGUCUCCCCUACUGCACUCUAGUCUGCCCGUACCCACUGCAGACCCGGGGUUGAGCCCCGGGCUUUCACAGCAGACGCGACAAACCGCCUACGAGCUCUUUACGCCCAAUAAUUCCGGAUAACGCUUGCGCCCUACGUAUUACCGCGGCUGCUGGCACGUAGUUAGCCGGCGCUUCUUCUGCAGGUACCGUCACUUUCGCUUCUUCCCUGCUGAAAGAGGUUACAACCCGAAGGCCGUCAUCCCUCACGCGGCGUCGCUGCAUCAGGCUUUCG
rnacentral:rRNA from 1 species